rnacentral:lncRNA from 1 species
AGCUGUAAAUUAUAUCUUUUUAACACGGUUUAUAACCUUUAUUGUAUUUCCUUUUUGCAUUUGUAGGGAAUCCUGGUGACAAAGGCAAGGGUAAAGCUGUGUCUGAAACGUCUGAUUUUAUCGAGAAUAGUCCUCGAGUUACAAGAGGUUAGUUUGAAGGAACAAUGCAUUUUAAUUGUAUUAUAAUUUUUCAUGUGUUAACGAAGAAGCAUGUGGGAUGAAUAUGUGCUGAAUUUGGGGAGAAUAGUCAUUGUGGUGUUGGAUUUUUUUUUAUUAUGCAGAGCGAAACCCAUUUCAAAUUUUUGUAAGUGUUCGUUACAUUAGCUUGCUAUCUGUUAGUUUAAGAUAUGGUAUACGUAGAAUCAUUCGUAGGGAUGCAGGCAUUAACUAAGAUUUUUUUUUUUGCUACUGCUUACUCAAGUAUUAUUUUUUAGUUAUAUGAGAUAUUUGGUUUGUGUUUGAUUAAAUUGUGUGUACGAAUAUUUUGCCUAACUAUGUGAUGCGAUAUGUAUUUGUGUAUGAAUUUUCCGGUAGGAAGGUGACACUAUCAAUUAUUAUAAUGCUCAACGGUAUAAUGUAUUUUCACUGUAUUAAGAUUCAAUGAAGUAUGUGAAAUGAAUAUUGUUAAUAAUAAUGCGAAUUGGUAUGUGUUUGAACAUGAAUAAUUUUAUUUUGAGUUGUUAUAUGUUCUUAAAUGUCACUGCCAUUUAUUAUAAUGCACAUAGUUAUAAUAAAAUAAAAAUUAUUCAUGAAGAUAUACAUAAAUUCGUAACAGAAAUACAUAUUCACAACAGGUUGCAUUAGUCAUUUUUUUGGAAUAAUAUUUGAUCCGGGUUUAUUUUGAUAUGUGGAGAGUUUAUUUAACAAUAAUAUUGUGUGAAUGAUUAGUUAAAUUUUUGAAUAAAUUCGUGAGAAUAUAAUAACCCUACACACGUGCAGGUAGUGUGAAGGGGAAAGGCAAACUGAUUGCGACUGAUGACGUGAGUGGACCUGCAAAUGUUGCUCAACUACGUGAAGGUUAGAUAUAUUUAUAUUUUCUUAUUAGUGAAUGCGUUGCAACAUUGUAAAGAUGGAAAAAGUUUUGACAAAAAUAAAAAUUAUAAAUGAAAUACGUGUUGCAGUUCGUACGAAGUAUUGAAAUGAUCCAUCAUUGUUAGCUUUUAAGCGAUCGAUACUUGGUGGUACAUUUAAAUAACUGCAAAUUCAUUUCAUAUUCUACUAUUUUAAUUGCAUUUUGUUCACUUUAUAUUAUAUCUAAAUUGCGUUUCAAUUUCAUAGGUAUCUUGAAGAUUUAAGUUUAUGAUUUGGUAAUCAAGCAUUAAUUUUAAAUGAUUGUUUCUUAUCGAUCAGGAUAAAUACUUAAGAGAAAAUUGAGUGAGACUCAUAACAAGGAAGCGCCUGGUGGUGGUUCGGACGUACCAGAAGUUAGAGUUGUGUCUCCAGUUGCUCCUGCCAAAAAGACUAGAAUUGAUAAACGUAUUUAUAAAUAAUUUUAUUGAUUAGCCUGC